UCCCUGGUGGUCUAGUGGUUAGGACUUGGCGCUUUCACUGCUGCGGAACCCAGUUCAAUUCCUGGUCUGGGAA
rnacentral:tRNA from 1 species